rnacentral:rRNA from 1 species
GACGAACGCUGGCGGCGUGCUUAACACAUGCAAGUCGAACGGAAAGGCCCUGCUUUUGUGGGGUGCUCGAGUGGCGAACGGGUGAGUAACACGUGAGUAACCUGCCCUUGACUUUGGGAUAACUUCAGGGAACUGGGGCUAAUACCGGAUAGGAGCUCCUGCUGCAUGGUGGGGGUUGGAAAGUUUCGGCGGUUGGGGAUGGACUCGCGGCUUAUCAGCUUGUUGGUGGGGUAGUGGCUUACCAAGGCUUUGACGGGUAGCCGGCCUGAGAGGGUGACCGGCCACAUGGGGACUGAGAUACGGCCCAGACUCCUACGGGAGGCAGCAGUGGGGAAUAUUGCACAAUGGGCGGAAGCCUGAUGCAGCAACGCCGCGUGCGGAUGACGGCCUUCGGGUUGUAAACCGCUUUCGCCUGUGACGAAGCGUGAGUGACGGUAAUGGGUAAAGAAGCACCGGCUAACUACGUG